ACAGCAACAGGAGCAGGAGCUUGCAAAGCAUAUCGCUGAGGAAGAUGAUGAUGAGUUCUAGUUGGUCGGCCCAUUUGGUUGUGUUCUGUUGUGUCUGUUACAGGGUUAAUUUGCUGAGGAUUUGUCUUUUGAAUUGCUGUCCUUGACGCGGUUUAUCAUACAGUUAAGUACAGGACAAAUCAGGUUAGCAUCUUCCCAGACUUUAAAUCGAGCUUGUGGUUUUGUUGAAUCUAUUUCAGAGUUGCUAAAAUUAUCUGAAGCAUGAAUGUGCAUCAAG
rnacentral:misc_RNA from 1 species